CUACAGAGUGAGACUCAGUCUCAAAAAAAAAAAACCAGGUGUGGUGGCAGGCGCCUAUAGUUCCAGCUACUUGGGAGGCUGAGGCAGGAGAAUCACUUGAACCUGGGAAGCCUGGGCAACAGAAUGAGACUCCGUCUCACAAAAAAAAAAACGAUUCAAUAGGAAUCAUCCACAGCACAUUUAUACAUUUACAACUUAAAUAACAUUAUGAUAUACAUUAUGAUGGUUGCUGAUUUUUUUAAAUCUAGUUCUCUAAUACCUCAUUCUUCACUCAGUUUGACUCAUUAAACAUGACCAAACACUUAUGACUGCCAGUAGGGAGAAUGGGACAUGGUGGCUUAUAUAAAUGUUGUACCUCCCUUCAGCAAGGAGAAGUUAGAAUGGCAGAGUUCAUAUGGCCAUGAUGCUCUUGAAUGUCUUUUAAUUUAAUGCCAGGAUGAAACAAUAAAGUCCAUGUGACCAAUUUACACUACUAUAUAAAUCUUUAUGUUCAUUUAAGACUAAAUUACUGUGAUAUUUGGCUACAUGGCAUGGUUAACAAAGGAUUUCACUAAAAUCAUAGGAUAAUUAAGAUUUCCUGGCCGGGUGCAGUGGCUCACUCCUGUGAUCCCCACAUGGGAGGAUCCCAGGUGGGAGGAUGGCUUAAACCCAGGAGUUUGAGACCAGCCUGGAAUAUAGAGAGACCAUGUCUUUACAGAACAUGCAAAAAUUAGCCAGACAUGGUGGCAUUUACCUAUAGUCCAGAGAGAAUUGCUUGUGUCCCAGAGGUCAAGUCUACAAUGAGCUGUGGUCACAUCAUUGCAUUCCAGCGUGGGUGACAGAGCGAGACUUUAUAUCAAAAAAAAAAAGAAAGAAAAGAAAAAAAAAUAAAGGAUUUCCCCAAAAAAUUUGAAUAUUUACUCUAACUUGAAAUGAUCAUAUUUUCAAGGUCGCUGAAGCUAAAUUAUAGAUGAAUACACAAAAUGACCUUCAAACUAAGGAACAGAAAACAUUUGCUAGACCUGAGAAACACGUUUUCCCCCAAAGUUUUAUUUAAAAGAUCACCAAAAAGACUUGAUAAAGAAAACUUUUGAAUCCUCUGUGUGAGCCUAUUCUUUGCCGGAACACCCACAGCCAAGUGAUGCCAGCUUGGCUGAUCUAUCAAUGCAAUCAUUGAAAGCCACAUGGCAGAGAAAGGGAAAAAUAAUAAAGUGAACCCUUUUGGAAAUGUAAGGGGAUAAAAAAACAAUUUAUCUCUACUUAUAAAUACAGGAUUUCAUUCUGAGAUCUAGUCCAACUCCUCACUUCAGAGAUGAGGAAAAUGAGUCUUAGAGAAGAUAAGGCUUUUUAAAUUAAUAGGCUAUUUUUGUGAGCAGUUUUAGGUUUAUAGAAUAAUUGAGCUGAAAGUACAGUUCCCAUUAAUACAGUUUCCCAUGUUAAUUCACCCAUGUUAAUCUCUAUUACUUUAAUUUCACACGUUAAUCUUGCAUUAAUAUGGCACAUUUGUUAUAACUGAUCUGCCAAUAUAGAUGCAUUAUUAUUAACCAAAGUCCAUAGUUUACAUUAGGGUUCAGUCUUUGUGUUGUACAUUAUAUGGCUUUUGACAAAGAUAUAAUGACAUGUAUCCACCAUUACAGUACCAUACAGAAUAGUUCUACUGUCCUAAAAAUCCCAUCUAUUCAUCCCUCCCUCCCCGCUCCUGAAUCUCUGGCAAGCACCGAUCUUUUUACUGUUCCAUAGAUUUUAGCCAUUUUAAUAUAUGUGUAAUGGUAUCUUCUUGUUUUAAUUUGCAAUUCUGUAAUGGCAUAUGAUGUGGAGCAUCUUUUCAUAUGCUUAUUUGCCAUCUGUAGAUCUUCUUUGGUGAGGUGUCUGUUCAGAUUGUCUGUUCAGGUGUCUGUUUUUAAAUUGAGCUGUUUGUUUUCUUAAGGUUGUGUUUAAGAAUUGCUUAUAUGUUUUGGAUACCAAUCGUUAUCAGAUAAAUGUUUUGCAAAUAUUUUCUCUAUGGCUUAUCUUUUUGUACUCUUAAGAAUGUCUUUUGCAGAGCAGUUUUAAGUUUUCAUAGAGUUUAAUUUAUCAACUUUUCUUUUUGGUAGAUCAUACUUUGGGUGUUGUGUCUAAGCAGUGAUCACCAAUCCCAAAGUCAUCUAGAUUUUCUCUUAUACUAUCUUUUAGGAGUUUUGUAGUUUUGCAUUUUACAUUUAGGUCUCUGAUCCAUUUUGAGUUAAUUUUUGUGAGAAGUGUAAGGCCUAUAUCUGGCUUCGAUUUUUUUUUUCUUGUGGAAGUCCAGUUAUUCCAGCACCAUUUGUUAAAAGGAUUAUCCUUUGUCCAUUAAUUGCCUUUGCUCCUUUGUCAAAGAGAGGUAAGACUUUUUAGCAACACCUUGAGGUGUUAUUUUCUUAUCAGUUCUUUUUGCUGAUAAACUGACUACAGCUCAGUGUUUAAGGGAAUUGUCUCUGGAGUCAGACGAUCUGUUUUUUUAUCUAAACAUUUUCAGCUGCAAUCUGUGAGAUCAUGGGCAAGUUACUUAACCUCUCUCAGCCUCAGUAUACUCAACUGUACAAUGGGUUUGAUGAUAAUAACAUGAUUAAUAAUAAUUGUAAGGUUAUCAGGAGACAGAUUAGAUAAUAUAGGUAAAAUAUCUGGCACAUAGUAUACCCCCAAAAAAUGUUGAGUAAGGGCUGCUACUAUUGGAGUAUUCCAAAUUUAACUUGCUUUCUGCCUUGGGGCUCACUAUUGAAAUAUACCAGACAAAAAUAUAUGCACAUCUUUCUUCAUUCUCUAAACACCCUUCUAAUUUUUAUAAAAUUAUGUACCAUUUAAGUAGGUUUUUUUCCAAAAUCACGUUCUCUGCAAACUCAUCUGUGGUGGCAGCAGCCAGAUCCGUAGUUGCUCAGUAGUCAUUGAUGGAGGAAGGGGCACAAGGAAACUUCUGGGUGUGAUUGAAAUGUUCUGUUUUUUUGUUUUUUUUUUAAUUGUAGUUGUGGUUUCAUGGGUGUUUACAUCUGUCAAAAUCCAUUGAAUUGUAUACUUUAUAUGGGUGCAGUGUAUUGUACAUACAUUAUACCUCCAUAAAGCUAAGACACACACAAGCAGGAAAUGUAAAUACUAUCUGGAUAUUGACAUCAAGGAAUUACUGUUAGUUUUUUACAUAUGAGAAUGUAUUGUAGUUAUUUUGAAUUUUUUGAAAAGUCCUUAUCUUUUAGAGAUGCAUAGAGAAAUACUUGCAGAUGAAAUAGUGUGAUGUGUAAUAUUUGCAUCAAAAUAAUAAGAGAUCGGAAGGGUGGAUUGGGGAGAGAGAUGAAACACAUUUGACUAUGAGCUGAUAACUAUUGCAGCUGGAUGGUAUGUACAUAGAUAGUUCAUUCCACUAUUCUGUUUUGUUUUGUGUGUUUAAAAUUGUCUAUAAUUUUAAAGCUUUUUAAAGAACCACUCCACACAUACAGGAACUGUUGCUUUUAUUUCAGUUGAUAAAUGGAACAGUACUGAAAGCAUCAUUAAGGUUUUUUUAUUUUUUUCUACACACCAUUUAUUUUUUAUCUAUUUUUUUUAUUAUACUUUAAGUUCUAGGGUAUAUGUGCACAACAUGCAGGUUUGUUACGUAUGUAUACAUGUGCCAUGUUGGUUUGCUGCACCCAUCAACUCGUCAUUUACAUUAGGUAUUUCUCCUAACACUAUCCCUCCCCCAGCCCACCACCCCCCAACAGGCCCUGGUGUAUGAUGUUCCCCUCCCUGAGUCCAUGUGUUCUCAUUGUUCGAUUCCCACCUAUGAGUGAGAACAUGUGGUCUGCACGCCAUUUAUACUUUUUAAUUACAAUUUUUGAGAUAAUUGUAGAUUCACACACAGUUGUAAGAAAUAGUAUAGAGAGAUCCCCUGUACACUUUGCCCAGUUUCCCACAAAGGUAACAUCUUGCAAAAGAAUAGUAUAAGAUCUCAACCAGGAUAGUCAAUCCACUCAUCUGAUUUAGAUUCCCCAAGUUUUACUUCUCCUUGUGUGUGUGUGUGUGUGUGUGUGUGUGUCCUCUCCAGCUACAAAUGUCAUGUUCCUUAUUCAGGAUAAUCUGUGGUUAAAUUCAGGACUUAGAGAGAGAAGGAGGUAGGUUUAUGCAAAUAUCAGAUUUCUUUGAUGGUAGGCAACAAAUGGACACAGGCUAACUUAAGGAAAAAGGAAAUCUAUAAAAGCUACGUAGGAGCUUUGCACAGUGGCAGUAUCGUAGCCAAUGAGGUUUAUCCGAGGCGUGAUUAUUGCUAAUUGAAAAGCUAAGUAAGAGCUCACAGAAUCAAAGGAGCCAACUUGGAAAGGGUAGGAACCAGAGCCAUUCCAGAGAUCCAGGAAGCAGGAAUCAACGGACUUGCACCUCCAGGUGUUUCACCAGCAUGAAUCUAUAGAACUCAUAUUCCAAGAAGGGUGUUGCCCACUGGGGUCAGGCGCCCUACCUUUUAGCUGGUAGAGAGUGGGACAUCCUGAUGCACAGUCCUCCCAAACUGUAACUGAUUAAGGAAGAGUAGUUCACUCAAAAGAAAUCUAGCAUGCUGUUUCCUGGAGAAGGAAAAAUGGAUGGUGGCCAGAAAUUACAACAAACGUACACUUUAAUAAAUUUCAGAAGAGGUCUUCAGUGGUAAAUAAGAAUGCAUUGUAUAUGAAAACUUUGAAUAAAAGAACAUUGUGCUUGGAGUGAAACACUCAGGGCUAUGUGUCUACAAGAAGAUUCUACAUUUAGGAGAAAUAAGCUUUAGUGAUCUAUUCUACAGAAUGGUGACUAUAAUAAAUAGUAAUGUGUUAUACAUUUCAAAAUUGCUGAGUGUAUAUUUUAAGAGUUUUCACUACAAAAAAUGUUAAGUACGAGAGGUGACGAAUUUGUUAAUCAGCUUGAUUUAAUCAUCUCACAAUGUAAAUAUAAAUCAAAACAUCACAUUGUACCCCAUAAAUUUAUACGAUUGUGAUGUCCAUUAAAAAUAAAAUUAAAAAAAGAAGGUUUACAUGCAAAGCUUUCUCAUUGCUGCUUAUGGAUUGGGACAAGCCUAAGAAGAGUUUCUUGUUCAUUAUUUUUCGUUUGACAAAUAUUUAUUUACCACGCCCCAGUGAUUCUAAGUCUAAGCCUCAGUGAUUCUGGUCUAGGUCAUUUCCUUUAUUCACUGUCCCCAAUGCAGAGCUCAAGUGGCUUAGCCUCAAUAGCUAGCAACAGG
rnacentral:lncRNA from 1 species